GGAGCGAUACCCAAGUGGUUGAAGGGGACGGUUUGCUAAACCGUUAGAUCGGGUGUACCGGUGCCAGGGUUCAAAGCCCUGUCGCUCCGCCA
rnacentral:tRNA from 1 species